CCUCUAUGUGAAUUGAUAAAGAUUAACUGGAGAAGCACAAAAAGUCUUUAAACAACUUAAACAAGAAUUGAUGAUUUUAAAAUAUCAAGCAAUAUUAGUAGAACAAGAUGAUGUGGGAAUUGUGGUCAUUAACAUCGUAAAUCCAGCUUCUUUCCUUAGUGGAACUCUGGAUCAACCCAUAACCCAUGAUUGUAUAGAAACAAUGGAGACUGUGUAUUCUAAUCGACCCGAUCUUAAGGAAGAACUUUUAGAAGAUGCUGACGAAUCUUGGUAUACUGAUGGAAGCAGCUUUGUGAAACAAGGACAACGUAAGGCAGGGUACGCCAUUACAACCACUCAACAGACUUUUUCAGGACAACCCCUAGAGGAAAAACGGAAGGAAUGUGGACGGGACCAUACCAGGUAUUACUGACAACACACACCGCCAUUAAGAUGAAGGAGCAAGCAGCUUGGAUCCACGAUUCAAGGGUGAAGGCCCUGGCGAGGAUAUGGACCACCACUCCAAUUGGACCAACAAAAUUAUGGUUUUCCAGAUCCUAAUGAUUGCAGGGGUGUGGUUCUCAGAUUCGGGGUGGGCAGUUUGGGAUGAGAACUUACACCUGUCCCUG